rnacentral:rRNA from 1 species
UACGUAGGGGGCAAGGGUUAUCCGGAUUUACUGGGCGUAAAGGGAGCGUAGACGGCGAGACAAGUCUGAAGUGAAAUGCCAGUGCUCAACACUGGAACUGCUUUGGAAACUGCCUGGCUGGAGUGCGGGAGAGGUAGGUGGAAUUCCUAGUGUAGCGGUGAAAUGCGUAGAUAUUAGGAGGAACACCAGUGGCGAAGGCGGCUUACUGGACCGUAACUGACGUUGAGGCUCGAAGGCGUGGGGAGCAAACAGG